UACGGAGGGGGCAAGCGUUGUUCGGAAUUACUGGGCGUAAAGGGCGCGUAGGCGGGCGAUCAAGUCAGAGGUGAAAGGCCUGGGCUCAACCUGGGAACUGCCUUUGAAACUGAUUGUCUAGAGUCCGGAAGAGGAUGGCGGAAUUCCCAGUGUAGAGGUGAAAUUCGUAGAUAUUGGGAAGAACACCAGUGGCGAAGGCGGCCAUCUGGUCCGGUACUGACGCUGAGGCGCGAAAGCGUGGGGAGCAAACAGG
rnacentral:rRNA from 1 species